rnacentral:rRNA from 1 species
UACAGAGGUCUCAACCGUUGUUCGGAUUCAUUGGGCGUAAAGGGUGCGUAGGCGGUCGCGCAAGUCGGAUGUGAAAUCUCAGGGCUCAACCCUGAAACUGCAUUCGAUACUGCGUGGCUAGAGUACUGGAGAGGAGACUGGAAUUUACGGUGUAGCAGUGAAAUGCGUAGAUAUCGUAAGGAAGACCAGUGGCGAAGGCGAGUCUCUGGACAGUAGCUGACGCUGAGGCACGAAGGCCAGGGGAGCAAACGGG